rnacentral:rRNA from 1 species
GAUGAACGCUAGCUACAGGCUUAACACAUGCAAGUCGAGGGGUAACAAGAGGAAAGCUUGCUUUUCUUGUUGACGACCGGCGCACGGGUGAGUAACGCGUAUCCAACCUGCCUAUAACUAGGGAAUAACCUUGCGAAAGUAAGACUAAUACCCUAUGAUUUCCUUUGAUGACAUCAGAUUAGGAAUAAAGAUUUAUCGGUUAUAGAUGGGGAUGCGUCUGAUUAGCUUGUUGGCGGGGUAACGGCCCACCAAGGCAACGAUCAGUAGGGGUUCUGAGAGGAAGGUCCCCCACAUUGGAACUGAGACACGGUCCAAACUCCUACGGGAGGCAGCAGUGAGGAAUAUUGGUCAAUGGGCGGAAGCCUGAACCAGCCAAGUAGCGUGCAGGAUGACGGCCCUAUGGGUUGUAAACUGCUUUUAUACAGGAAUAAAGUUAGCCACGUGUGGUUAUUUGUAGGUACUGUAUGAAUAAGGACCGGCUAAUUCCGUGCCAGCAGCCGCAGUAA